rnacentral:tRNA from 1 species
GGAGAAGUACCCAAGAGGCCGAAGGGGCUCCCCUGCUAAGGGAGUAGGGCGUUUAUAGCGUCGCCGGGGUUCAAAUCCCCGCUUCUCCGCCA